UACUGCUGCCUCUCCAUAUAGUAUCAUCCAAAAGGUAAAGCAGAGCUGGUAUGAAAUCUCCACGCAAUUCAAGCCUCGCACAGAGGAUAAUCUUGCAAAGAAAAGGAUGCUAGCGAAUGCCAGAAUUCAUCAUGAGGGAAGGGUCCAGGUUGAAGCACGCAUAAUUUACUGGGUUAAACCUCCUCCGGGCAUGCUCAAGUUGAAUGUGGACGGAGCUUCUAAAGGAAAUCCAGGACGGUCUGGUGGUGGCGGUGGCAUUAUAUGUAGGGGGACAGCCAAGGUAAUGUUAUUAAUUUGCAUUCUACUCCUUCUUUGGUAGCGGAUCCAGCUUUCUCGCAGAGUUAAGGGCCUUACUGACAGGGCCUUGAAUGAAGCCUAUCCUCAGUGAGGUUUUGAAUUGCAGGCCUUCUAUCGUGGAGAUGGAUUCCAAAAUAAUUGUUGAUAUGAUUGUUAGGAGGUCGAAGCCACCUUGGACAGCAUUACCUUGUGGCAAGAAGUUAUAAGGCUGUGCGAAAGAUUCCAUCCGAUAAUCAACCAUUCAUAUCGAGAAGGCAAUAGAUUUGCGGAUUCAUUGGCAAACUUUGGGGUUGAAUGUGGCAGAAACCGCAUUAUUCUCUCAGAAGCAGCAUUACCGGCACAAGCGUUAGGGCAUAUCCGUCUGGAGAGGCUUGGAUUCCCAAACAUAAGGAAGAUUUCUAGAUAGCUAUU
rnacentral:lncRNA from 1 species